GUGCUCGCUUCGGCAGCACAUAUGCUAAAAUUGGGACGAUACAGAGAUUAGCAUGGUCCCUGAGCAAGGAUACACACAAACUCGUGAAGCGCUCCAUAUUUAA